UACGAAGGGGGCGAGCGUUGUUCGGAAUUACUGGGCGUAAAGGGCGCGUAGGCGGCCCCUUUUGUCGCGUGUGAAAGCCCCGGGCUCAACCUGGGAACGGCGCGCGAAACGGGGGGGCUUGAGUUCGGGAGAGGAGAGUGGAAUUCCCAGUGUAGAGGUGAAAUUCGUAGAUAUCGGGAGGAACACCAGUGGCGAAGGCGACUUCCUGGCCUGUUCUUGACGCUGAGGCGCGAAAGCUAGGGGAGCAAACGGG
rnacentral:rRNA from 1 species